rnacentral:lncRNA from 1 species
UUGCAAGUCAGUCUUACUUUACAGCAAAAAAUAUGGAUGCACUCCCAGCAGAGAACAAGACGCAGCUCUACUCUGAACUAUUCUACACUUUGAGAUAUAACCCAGGUAUAAGGGAUACCUUAACCAGCAGCAGCUUCCUCCCUCUCCACCUGUACCUGGUUCUGCCUCUCAUCUCACCCCCACGCUGUAGCGGAAUACAAAACGAGCCAUCAGAGCGCUGCGGUGCUCCGCCACAACCUGGCCAGUGAAGAGUUCUGUUUACUCA